CUUAAAGUAGUAUAUCGUAAGCAAUAAAGUAAGAAACUUUUACAAAGGUGAACAAAAUUCCAUGCAAAUGCAAUUAAAAUAUUAACCAAAUUAUGUAUUUUGUCGAUGUUACAUGUUGCAUUGUUCGCAAAGAGUAAUCAUAUUUAACCCUGGAAUACUAUGGUAGGGUACUGGAUUCCCCAACCGAUUUUCUUUCAGGUGCUGUCAAGACAUGGCAGCACUGCCUACGUUUUCCUUCCCUGUAUUCUCAUAUCAGACCAAUAGGUUUGAACAUGUUUUGAAGUGGUUGUGUUCUUGUCCAUUAGCAUUGUUGGGGAACUGUAUACCCCAGUGUAGUAUUUAGUUUAGAAGAAAAUGGAAAAUAAGUCCCUGAGUGAAAAAGAGAUUUUGCGAACUCUCUUUGAGAAAGAUGAUGAUGAAGAUUUGCAUGAAGAAGAAGAGUGCAGUGAUGAAGACCAUAUUGAGGAAGAUGUGGUAGCAGACGAUGAAAUUCAAUUGACUAAGUAUACACUACCAACACUGCUAUUUCGAGCCGAUGUGUUUGCCCCAGGAAAAAUGACAGAAAAACAACAGUCAAAUGUCAAAAGUGUUGUCGACUUGUCUGCAAUGCCCACAAAGUGUGUUUGUGCCCUAACUGCUCAUAAAUUAUGUUAAAUAAAUACUAAAAUAUCAUUAAUUAUUACGUAUAAGAAAGUUCGUGAAUCAAUAAAAGUUGUCUGUUCAAACUA